rnacentral:rRNA from 1 species
GACGAACGCUGGCGGCGUGCCUAAUACAUGCAAGUAGAACGCUGAAGAGAGGAGCUUGCUCUUCUUGGAUGAGUUGCGAACGGGUGAGUAACGCGUAGGUAACCUGCCUUGUAGCGGGGGAUAACUAUUGGAAACGAUAGCUAAUACCGCAUAACAAUGGAUGACACAUGUCAUUUAUUUGAAAGGGGCAAUUGCUCCACUACAAGAUGGACCUGCGUUGUAUUAGCUAGUAGGUGAGGUAACGGCUCACCUAGGCGACGAUACAUAGCCGACCUGAGAGGGUGAUCGGCCACACUGGGACUGAGACACGGCCCAGACUCCUACGGGAGGCAGCAGUAGGGAAUCUUCGGCAAUGGGGGCAACCCUGACCGAGCAACGCCGCGUGAGUGAAGAAGGUUUUCGGAUCGUAAAGCUCUGUUGUAAGUCAAGAACGAGUGUGAGAGUGGAAAGUUCACACUGUGACGGUAGCUUACCAGAAAGGGACGGCUAACUACGUGCCAGCAGCCGCGGUAAUACGUAGGUCCCGAGCGUUGUCCGGAUUUAUUGGGCGUAAAGCGAGCGCGGGCGGUUUGAUAAGUCUGAAGUUAAAGGCUGUGGCUCAACCAUAGUUCGCUUUGGAAACUGUCAAACUUGAGUGCAGAAGGGGAGAGUGGAAUUCCAUGUGUAGCGGUGAAAUGCGUAGAUAUAUGGAGGAACACCGGUGGCGAAAGCGGCUCUCUGGUCUGUAACUGACGCUGAGGCUCGAAAGCGUGGGGAGCGAACAGGAUUAGAUACCCUGGUAGUCCACGCCGUAAACGAUGAGUGCUAGGUGUUGGAUCCUUUCCGGGAUUCAGUGCCGCAGCUAACACAUUAAGCACUCCGCCUGGGGAGUACGACCGCAAGGUUGAAACUCAAAGGAAUUGACGGGGGCCCGCACAAGCGGUGGAGCAUGUGGUUUAAUUCGAAGCAACGCGAAGAACCUUACCAGGUCUUGACAUCCCGAUGCUAUUUCUAGAGAUAGAAAGUUACUUCGGUACAUCGGUGACAGGUGGUGCAUGGUUGUCGUCAGCUCGUGUCGUGAGAUGUUGGGUUAAGUCCCGCAACGAGCGCAACCCCUAUUGUUAGUUGCCAUCAUUCAGUUGGGCACUCUAGCGAGACUGCCGGUAAUAAACCGGAGGAAGGUGGGGAUGACGUCAAAUCAUCAUGCCCCUUAUGACCUGGGCUACACACGUGCUACAAUGGUUGGUACAACGAGUUGCGAGUCGGUGACGGCAAGCUAAUCUCUUAAAGCCAAUCUCAGUUCGGAUUGUAGGCUGCAACUCGCCUACAUGAAGUCGGAAUCGCUAGUAAUCGCGGAUCAGCACGCCGCGGUGAAUACGUUCCCGGGCCU